AGUGGUCAAUAGUGACAGAGUUAGGGAGGGAAGGGGUGACUAGUGACAGAGUGAGGAAGGGGGUGACUAGUGAUAGAGGGAGGGGUGACUAGGAACAGAGUGAGGGAGGUGGUGACUAGUGACUAGUGACAGUCACCACCUCCCUCACUCUGUCACUAGUCACCCCGUCCUUCCCUCACUCUGCCACUAGUCACCCCUUCCCUCACUCUGUCACCAGUCCUCCCCUCACUCUGUCACUAGUCACCCUUCCUUCCCUCACUCUGCCACUAGUCACCCCUUCCCUCACU
rnacentral:sRNA from 1 species